rnacentral:lncRNA from 1 species
UACGUAAACAAGAACCAAUGAUUUUGAUUGCUUUUAAUUUCUAACAGUCCAUUAAUCAAAAUAUAAUAAGUAAAUUGAACAAACACAAAUCAAAUGAUGAUUAAAUUCAACAUUUAAAUGCUCUAGGGAAUUUUUCAGGUUUGAAGUUAAAUAUUAAAUGCAAAUACACCGUUUAUUAAUCAAUUUUAUUCUCCUUAUUUCACGACCGAAUAAUCUCUACGGUGAUGACUCUUCGUGUCCGGACUAGCCAUGUACUAUCAAAAAAUUUAUAUCCUACUGUUGUAGUCAGUAUAAGUAAUUAAAUAGCCUUAAGU